ensembl:snRNA U6 U6 spliceosomal RNA
GCGCUCACUUUGGCAGCACAUAUACUGAAAUUGGAACAAUAUAGAGAAGAUUGCCAUGGCCCCUGCAAAAGGAUAACACGCAAAUUCAUGAAGUGUUCCAUAUUUUC